AGUCGACCCCUAAGGCGAGGCCGAAAGGCGUAGUCGAUGGGAAACAGGUUAAUAUUCCUGUACUUGGUGUUACUGCGAAGGGGGGACGGAGAAGGCUAUGUUGGCCGGGCGACGGUUGUCCCGGUUUAAGCGUGUAGGCUGGUUUUCCAGGCAAAUCCGGAAAAUCAAGGCUGAGGCGUGAUGACGAGGCACUACGGUGCUGAAGCAACAAAUGCCCUGCUUCCAGGAAAAGCCUCUAAGCAUCAGGUAACAUCAAAUCGUACCCCAAACCGACACAGGUGGUCAGGUAGAGAAUACCAAGGCGCUUGAGAGAACUCGGGUGAAGGAACUAGGCAAAAUGGUGCCGUAACUUCGGGAGAAGGCACGCUGAUAUGUAGGUGAAGUCCCUCGCGGAUGGAGCU
rnacentral:rRNA from 1 species